rnacentral:rRNA from 1 species
GAUCAUGGCUCAGGAUGAACGCUAGCGACAGGCCUAACACAUGCAAGUCGAGGGGCAACAUGGUAUCAGCUUGCUGAUACCGAUGGCGACCGGCGCACGGGUGAGUAACGUGUAUGUAAUCUACCUGUAGCAGAGGGAUAACCCGGAGAAAUCCGGACUAAUACCUCAUAGCACAUAUUAUUCGCAUGAAUUUUAUGUUAAAGAGACUCGGUUACAGAUGAAC